ensembl:lncRNA
UUCCAUACUGCUUAUCCUACAGGGUCUCGGAGAACCUGAGCCUAUCCCAGGGAGCAUGGGGCACAAGGCGGGGUACACCCUGGAAGGUGUGCCAGUCACCAAUUACAGGGCACUAUCACAUACACAUUCAUACACUAUGGACACUUUGGACUGGGGAGGAAACUGGAGUACCUGAAGGAAACCCCUGCGGCACAGGACAACAUGCAAACUCCUCACACACGUCCUGCCAUGGUGGGAAUCGAACCCCCAACCCUGGAGGUUUGCGGGGAUCCUGGAGCCUAUCCCAUGGAGCAUGGGGCACAAGGCAAGCAGCAACCUGAAGUGUCAUGAAGAAUCAUCCACAUGCAAUUUU